rnacentral:lncRNA from 1 species
UGAGAUGAGAUUCGGAGUUAUAUACCUAGGGUUGUUGUUGUUGUUGUUGGGCUGGGUAGUUUUUGGGCCGAAUUGUGUACUUCAGGGUCCCGUGGGUCACCCGCGGGGGGAGUAUAAACCCGCCCCCGCACCCGUCAUGUGUCGGGUCCCCGAACCCGAGAUCCACGGGGGGGAUUCCGGACCCGCUCCCACCCCCGUUGGGUCUGAAACCCGCGGGUCUCGGGUCUAGACCCGCCCGAUUGCCAUCCCUAACUGCUGGAGGUCGCUGCCCUUCUUGAUUCGUGGCCGCGCUCGCUGCAUGGUCGCUGGAGCUCGAUGGUACUACCGGAGGUUGAUUCGCUACACUGAAGCUCAAUUCGCAUCACCAGAGGUUGAUUUGUGGUGUCGGACUAUGUAUCACCGAUAUGGCGAUACAAUACGGCGAUACAGCGAUACACGAUUUUGGAAAACAACACAGUGGUGAUACAGAGAGAGUAUCAGAGUAUCGAAGUAUAAGAUACGCAAGUAUUGGAUACCGGUACGGCAGGGUCAGUGAAGUAUCGAUGAUUCAUAAGUGUCGGAGCUCGAUUCGUGGCCG